GGUAGUCCACGCCCUAACCGAUGCUGACUAGUUGUUCGGGAUUUACAUCCUGAGUAACGUAGCUAACGCGUGAAGUCAGCCGCCUGGGGAGUACGGUCGCAAGAUUAAAACUCAAAGGAAUUGACGGGGACCCGCACAAGCGGUGGAUGAUGUGGAUUAAUUCGAUGCAACGCGAAAAACCUUACCUACCCUUGACAUGUCACUAACGAAGUAGAGAUACAUUAGGUGCUCGUAAGAGAAAGUGAACACAGGUGCUGCAUGGCUGUCGUCAGCUCGUGUCGUGAGAUGUUGGGUUAAGUCCCGCAACGAGCGCAACCCUUGUCUUUAGUUGCUACGCAAGAGCACUCUAAAGAGACUGCCGGUGACAAACCGGAGGAAGGUGGGGAUGACGUCAAGUCCUCAUGGCCCUUAUGGGUAGGGCUUCACACGUCAUACAAUGGUGCAUACAGAGGGUUGCCAACCCGCGAGGGGGAGCUAAUCUCAGAAAAUGCAUCGUAGUCCGGAUCGUAGUCUGCAACUCGACUACGUGAAGCUGGAAUCGCUAGUAAUCGCGGAUCAGAAUGUCGCGGUGAAUACGUUCCCGGGUCUUGUACACACCGCCCGUCAUACCAUGGGAGUGGGUUUUGCC
rnacentral:rRNA from 1 species